rnacentral:tRNA from 1 species
GAUGUAAGGACUGCUUGGUAGGUUACUGCGAUAUAGUAAAUUUAAGAAAAAUUUUUCUCUACAUUA